ensembl:lncRNA
AUGGCCAGAGAAAGAAGAUACUGCAAAAGAGGACAGAUCAUCUAGAGAGCAGGUUGCUCAGCAGGGUGGAGUCGCUGCCCUUCCCAUCCACGGACACCGAGUGCUCGCCCUUCUUCACCAGCAGGCAGACGUGGUGGCCCUGGAUGGAGCGGCUGUACAUGGAGGCGCAGGAGUCCACUCGCUCCACCAUAGAAAAGUGGUGGUGAAAACAUAUCUUUGCCAGAAGGUUCUGGAAGGACAUACUGAUGCCAUCGACUCUGACUGAGCUCAUGCUCAGGUCCCCAGACCCCAGCAGCUUGGCAAAGGCAUCACUGUAGCAGGUUCUGUGUCUUACCCUGGCAGUUCUGUGGGUCUCACAGUCAUGCAGCCUGAAGGAAUCGAUCUAUCGUCCAUCUCAUUAUUUUUAUUGGCUUCAUGAUUUCUCCCAGUAGAGGUGCACCAUAAUUCUAGAGAACAAUGUAAGUAUGCAUAGCCUUUAAUGCAGCAAUUCUGCUUCUCAGAACCUGUCUUCCAGAAACACUUAUGCUAGUGUAAAUUCCGUAUGUAGAUGAAUGUGUAUUAUAGGAUUGUGUGUCAACAGUGAAUUGUGAAGCAAAUCUGUUGAUUUGGAAUGUAACUGAAGAGUGAUGAAACCAACCACUUAGGUAUAAGGAACUCUGAUGACUCUGUACAGGGGGCCAAAAGGCCGUUAUUAUAUAGUGCAUGUGUGUUUCUAACUAAUACAAGUUUCCCUUUUGGGACACAGACAAGGUAAUAUCAGGCUACUUAUUCUGUGAAUUGGACUCCUGAGGUCUAAGCAAAUAGGAAGGACACUCCUGACAGUAGCUUGCUCUUUUCUUUCUCCUUGCCUUGCCUUUCCUCUUUUCAUCCCCCUCCCUGUCUUCCUUUUAUAUUAAAGGUAGAAGUCAGAAUAGUAUUUUGCAUUUUGCUUUUGUGGUACAAAAAUAGCAAAAUCAAAUUAAAUUACAUGUUCUAAAAACCUAAAAAGUACCACAAAAACCCCUGAAACCCAGAAAAAUAUCAAUGUACUUAAAAAAUAAUUAACUGCUUGACAUGACUCCUGCCUUUGUGUGGCCAUCCCAGGUGAGGUGGCCCAGUGGUCAUCAGAAUAUUUCUGGAGGCCAUUUCAACACAAGGACAACAAGCAGUAACUUAACUGUGUGUGGAAGUUACUGCAAACUAUAUGAGUACAUCCCACUAAACCUAUAAUUAAUGUGUCUCUAAGGAUUGCUCCUUCCCCAAAUCCCUCAAAUGCCCCUGGCUGCCCUAAUGCCACCAGACACAAAGGGAAGUGGGACAGAGAAGAAGUCAGAAGGGAAAGAUACGGUGGUCUUAGAAAAGACUUUUUGCAAAAACAUAGGACCAUGUGAACACACUUCGAGGCCUCUGUGGGGAAGCCCUGUAACUUCAGGUUCCUUAGAGACACCGUAACUGCACCUGUGGGUGUGGGUGCUGGGGGCACGGGUGGGGCUUCCAGCACCUGGACAGUUCCCUCUGGUCCUCCUUCCUUGCCCUGGGCUUCAUCAAGCUCACCUUUAUGUAUCUUAGAGGUAGUUCUACUUUGGGACAAAGACAGCUGCUUAGUUCUACCCCUGCUUUUUCUGAGUCAAGGUAAUUGUACAAAC